GAAACAAAAAGAAAGAAAGAAAACCAGGUUUCAGGCGCUUUCCCUCUUCUUCUCGGUGUCUCUCUCUCUCUUUGUUGCUCUCAUUCUCUCCCCUGCCCCACACGGCCUCUCUCACUCUGUCUCUUCUCAUUUGUCGCUUCUGGUUAGUGUUUAAUUCUCAUCAUCCCUCACAAUGGCAUAACUGCAGGUUAGUGGGUGUUCAGAAUUUAUAUUCUAUUAACUGUUGAUUAAUUGUUUUCAGGGUUAGAUUAUGGGAGCCUUAAUUGGUACGAGUGUUUGAGAAUACAUGAAUUGA